GUGUUUGCUUAGGCAGCACGUAUUCUAAAAUUGGAACAAUACAGAGAAGAUUAGCAUGGCCCUGAGCAAAGACAACACGCAAGUUCAUGAAGCAUUCCACUACAGA